CUUCAGGUCUCAGAUCAAACCCCUCACACCUGAUAGAGCUGAAUCUGAGUGGGAAUAAAUUAGGAGACUCAGGAGUGAAGUACAUCUCUGAUCUACUGAAGGAUCCACACUGUAAACUACAGAGACUGCUGCUUAAUAACAGCAGUAUAACAGAAGAAGGCUGUGCUGCUCUGACUUCAGCUCUCAGAUCAAACCCCUCACACCUGA